UGAGGGAAUAUUGGGUCAAUGGGCGGAAGCCUGAACCAGCCAAGUAGCGUGAGGGAUGACUGCCCUAUGGGUUGUAAACCUCUUUUAUAAGGGAAUAAAAUACGGGACGUGUCCUGUUUUGCAUGUACCUUAUGAAUAAGGACCGGCUAAUUCCGUGCCAGCAGCCGCGGUAAUACGGAAGGUCCGGGCGUUAUCCGGAUUUAUUGGGUUUAAAGGGAGCGUAGGCCGGAGAUUAAGCGUGUUGUGAAAUGCCGCGGCUCAACCGUGGCACUGCAGCGCGAACUGGUUUUCUUGAGUGCGCGCGACGCAGGCGGAAUUCGUGGUGUAGCGGUGAAAUGCUUAGAUAUCACGAGGAACCCCGAUUGCGAAGGCAGCUUGCGGGAGCGCAACUGACGCUGAAGCUCGAAGGUGCGG
rnacentral:rRNA from 1 species